GUAACGACUCUCGGCAACGGAUAUCUCGGCUCUCGCAUCGAUGAAGAACGUAGCGAAAUGCGAUACUUGGUGUGAAUUGCAGAAUCCCGUGAACCAUCGAGUCUUUGAACGCAAGUUGCGCCCGAAGCCUUCUGGCUGAGGGCACGUCUGCCUGGGCGUCACGC
rnacentral:rRNA from 1 species